AUUGAACGCUGGCGGCAGGCCUAACACAUGCAAGUCGAACGAGUGGCGGACGGGUGAGUAAUGUCUGGGAAUCUGCCUGAUGGCGGGGGAUAACUACUGGAAACGGUAGCUAAUACCGCAUACCAUCAGAUGAACCCAGAUGGGAUUAGCUAGUAGGUGGGGUAACGGCUUACCUAGGCGACGAUGCAUAGCCGGACUGAGAGGAUGAUCAGCCACACUGGGACUGAGACACGGCCCAGACUCCUACGGGAGGCAGCAGUAGGGAAUCUUGGGCAAUGGGCGAAAGUCUGAUCGAGCAAUGCCGCGUGAAUGAAGAAGGUUUUCGGAUCGUAAAGCACUGUUGGUAGAGAAGCGGUACCUAAAGAGAAAGCAACGGCUAACUACGUGCCAGCAGCCGCGGUAAUUC
rnacentral:rRNA from 1 species